rnacentral:sRNA from 1 species
AUCAACUUUCGAUGGUAGGAUAGAGGCCUACCAUGGUGGUAACGGGUAACGGGGUGUUAGGGCACGACACCGGAGAGGGAGCCUGAGAAACGGCUACCACAUCCAAGGAUGGCAGCAGGCGCGCAAAUUACCCAAUCCCGACACGGGGAGGUAGUGACAAUAAAUAACAAUACGGGGUCCUUUCGGGUUUCGUAAUUGGAAUGAGUACAAUUUAAAUCUCUUAACGAGGAACAAUUGGAGGGCAAGUCUGGUGCCAGCAGCCGCGGUAAUUCCAGCUCCAAUAGCGUAUAUUAAAGUUGUUGCAGUUAAAAAGCUCGUAGUUGAAUUUCGGGAUCAAUAUAUCGGUCGUGCCAUCGGUAUGCACUGGUAUUAUUGGUUUCUCCUUUCUGACGAACUAUGAUGUCAUUAAUUUGGUGUCAUAGGAAAUCAGGACUGUUACUUUGAAAAAAUUAGAGUGUUUAAAGCAGGCACACGCUUGAAUACAUUAGCAUGGAAUAAUGAAAUAGGACGUUUGAUCUUAUUUUGUUGGUUUCUAGGAUCGACGUAAUGAUUAAUAGGGAUAGUUGGGGGCAUUAGUAUUCAAUUGUCAGAGGUGAAAUUCUUGGAUUUAUUGAAGACUAACUACUGCGAAAGCAUUUGCCAAGGAUGUUUUCAUUAAUCAAGAACGAAAGUUAGGGGAUCGAAGACGAUCAGAUACCGUCGUAGUCUUAACCAUAAACUAKGCCGACUAGGAAU